UUCUUUACAUAAUUUAUUAGGCUACGAAUAAAUUUAAAUUAAGAGAGUUAAAAAAUUAAAUGAACAAAUGUUUAAAUAAGCAAAGACUUUCAAUUUAAUUGCAGUAAAAUGCUAUAGGUUAAAAUCAAUUGCACUCUAUGAGAUUAAGAAAAAAAUUUUAAAACUCAUCUUUAAUCAACGGAUUAAAAAUAGUAUUUUUAAGGAUUUUAAACAUUAAAUUUUGGCGAUAAUUUUGGCAACAUUUUUUUUUCAGAAAUCAUUGUUUUUUUAUUUCUUCUUACCUGUUACACCAGUAUUGUGACCGAUGUCUAGGAAAAAAAAUAUAUAGCAUCAAAUAAAUUUUUAAUUUCUCUUCCGAUUUCUUACAAAUACUGGAUUGAUCUAAAAAGAGGCUUAGUUUCAUUAGAUUCUUUGAGCACCAUGAAUUCCUUUACCUUAGUCCUCGCAUUAGUAAUUUUGGCAACUGUUAGUGCACGCCCCGAACCGGGUGUUCACAGAGUCACGGGACAACUUGUUACACGCGUUUACAAAGUUCGAAUACCGGUAACGAAAGGACCUAAUUAUGGUAAGUUAUA